AUGACGCGAACGCAAAAAGUACUUAAAUGAGGAAACACACAACGUUCAAUCUUUUUUCUGUAAAAAUUUAGCUGAAUACAAAUUCAAAUAAAAUGAGCGAAUUUCAAGUGCGAUCAAGAUGUUUACAAGAUCCAUCGAACGAAUACGUGGCGCUUAAUGUUGAUUCGAAUAAUGACGAUAAAAAACUGUUUAAAAUUAUGAGAUGGAAAAUUUUUAAUAAAAAUUUUUAUAGAAACUUGUCGCCAGUCAAGAAGUGGAUGUUGUCAUUAUUUGUAGUGGCCUUAGUUGGAAUGACCAUAUAUUACUCUUUCUUUUACAGAAAAAGAAGAUUUAAUAGAUAUAACUAUGAAUAUUCAACACAUUCUUACUAUCAAUGAAAUUUAAAAUAAAAUUAUACUGUAAUUAAAACUAUUUUUUGUAUAAUAUUUGUUGAUCAACCACAAUAUUAAAUAAAAAACAAAAACAAAAUA